rnacentral:rRNA from 1 species
CCUACGGGUGGCUGCAGUGAGGAAUAUUGGUCAAUGGGCGCGAGCCUGAACCAGCCAAGUCGCGUGAGGGCAGACGGUCCUAUGGAUUGUAAACCUCUUUUGUCGGGGAGCAAAAUCCGCCACGCGUGGGUUUCCGCGAGUACCCGAAGAAAAAGCAUCGGCUAACUCCGUGCCAGCAGCCGCGGUAAUACGGAGGAUGCGAGCGUUAUCCGGAUUUAUUGGGUUGAAAGGGUGCGUAGGCGGGAGAUCAAGUCAGCGGUAAAAUUGAGGGGCUCAACCUCUUCCAGCCGUUGAAACUGGUGUUCUUGAGUGAGUGAGAAGUAUGCGGAAUGCGUGGUGUAGCGGUGAAAUGCAUAGAUAUCACGCAGAACUCCGAUUGCGAAGGCAGCAUACCGGCGCUCAACUGACGCUCAUGCACGAAAGUGUGGGUAUCGAACAGGAUUAGAUACCCGUGUAGUC